GAUGAACGCUGGCGGCGUGCCUAAUACAUGCAAGUCGAGCGAACGGACGAGAAGCUUGCUUCUCUGAUGUUAGCGGCGGACGGGUGAGUAACACGUGGAUAACCUACCUAUAAGACUGGGAUAACUUCGGGAAACCGGAGCUAAUACCGGAUAAUAUUUUGAACCGCAUGGUUCAAAAGUGAAAGACGGUCUUGCUGUCACUUAUAGAUGGAUCCGCGCUGCAUUAGCUAGUUGGUAAGGUAACGGCUUACCAAGGCAACGAUGCAUAGCCGACCUGAGAGGGUGAUCGGCCACACUGGAACGGAAACACGGUCCAGACUCCUACGGGAGGCAGCAGUAGGGAAUCUUCCGCAAUGGGCGAAAGCCUGACGGAGCAACGCCGCGUGAGUGAUGAAGGUCUUCGGAUCGGAAAACUCUGUUAUUAGGGAAGAACAUAUGUGUAAGUAACUGUGCACAUCUUGACGGUACCUAAUCAGAAAGCCACGGCUAACUACGUG
rnacentral:rRNA from 1 species